rnacentral:sRNA from 1 species
GCCGGGUGUGGUGGCACACGCCUGCAAUCCCAGCGGUUUGGGAGGCUGAGAUAGGAGGAUUGCAGGUUCAAAGGCAGCCUCAGCAACAGCAAGGUACUAAGCAACUCAGUGAGACCCUGUCUCUA